GACGAACGCUGGCGGCGUGCUUAACACAUGCAAGUGGUGCGACGAACCAGGCUUCGGCCUGGGGCAAAGCCGCGAACGGGUGAGUAACACGUGGGUCACCUGCCCCGAAGACCGGGACAACCCGAGGAAACUCGAGCUAAUACCGGAUGUGGUCGUCUCUCAUAAGAGUGACGAGCAAAGGUAGCUUCGGCCUCCGCUUCGGGAUGGGCCCGCGGCCCAUUAGCUUGUUGGUGAGGUAACGGCUCACCAAGGCUGCGAUGGGUAGCUGGUCUGAGAGGACGAUCAGCCACACUGGGACUGAGACACGGCCCAGACUCCUACGGGAGGCAGCAGUGGGGAAUCUUGCGCAAUGCGCGAAAGCGUGACGCAGCAACGCCGCGUGGGGGAAGAAGGCCUUCGGGUUGUAAACCCCUUUCAGGAGGGACGAAGCUUCGGGGGUGAAUAGCCUUCCGGAGUGACGGUACCUCCACAAGAAGCCCCGGCUAACUACGUGCCAGCCGCCGCAGUAAUAC
rnacentral:rRNA from 1 species